GAUGAACGCUGGCGGCGUGCCUAAUACAUGCAAGUCGAGCGAACGGACGAGAAGCUUGCUUCUCUGAUGUUAGCGGCGGACGGGUGAGUAUCACGUGGAUAACCUACCUAUAAGACUGGGAUAACUUCGGGAAACCGGAGCUAAUACCGGAUGAUAUUUUGAACCGCAUGGUUCAAAAGUGAAAGACGGUCUUGCUGUCACUUAUAGAUGGAUCCGCGCUGCAUUAGCUAGUUGGUAAGGUAAUGGCUUACCAAGGCAACGAUGCAUAGCCGACCUGAGAGGGUGAUCGGCCACACUGGAACUGAGACACGGUCCAGACUCCUACGGGAGGCAGCAGUAGGGAAUCUUCCGCAAUGGGCGAAAGCCUGACGGAGCAACGCCGCGUGAGUGAUGAAGGUCUUCGGAUCGUAAAACUCUGUUAUUAGGGAAGAACAUAUGUGUAAGUAACUGUGCACAUCUUGACGGUACCUAAUCAGAAAGCCACGGCUAACUACGUG
rnacentral:rRNA from 1 species